CCUACGGGAGGCUGCAGUGGGGAAUAUUGCACAAUGGGCGCAAGCCUGAUGCAGCCAUGCCGCGUGUGUGAAGAAGGCCUUCGGGUUGUAAAGCACUUUCAGCAGUGAGGAAGGGUGUGUAUUUAAUAGAUGCACAUUUUGACGUUAGCUGCAGAAGAAGCACCGGCUAACUCCGUGCCAGCAGCCGCGGUAAUACGGAGGGUGCGAGCGUUAAUCGGAAUUACUGGGCGUAAAGCGCAUGCAGGUGGUUUGUUAAGUCAGAUGUGAAAGCCCGGGGCUCAACCUCGGAACUGCAUUUGAAACUGGCAGGCUAGAGUACUGUAGAGGGGGGUAGAAUUUCAGGUGUAGCGGUGAAAUGCGUAGAGAUCUGAAGGAAUACCGGUGGCGAAGGCGGCCCCCUGGACAGAUACUGACACUCAGAUGCGAAAGCGUGGGGAGCAAACAGGAUUAGAUACCCCGGUAGUC
rnacentral:rRNA from 1 species